rnacentral:rRNA from 1 species
UAACGCGUGAGUAACCUGCCUUUCAGGGGGGAGUAAACGUUCUGAAAAGAACGCUAAUACCGCAUAAGAUUGUAGCUUCGCAUGGAGCAGCAAUCAAAGGAGCAAUCCGCUGAAAGAUGGACUCGCGUCCGAUUAGAUAGUUGGCGGGGUAACGGCCCACCAAGUCGACGAUCGGUAGCCGGACUGAGAGGUUGAUCGGCCACAUUGGGACUGAGACACGGCCCAG